GCACUCUAGGAUUGUGUAGAGCGUCUUAUAUGGAGACGCUCACCUUUCUAGGUUUGAGCACUCCGGGGAGUCUACAAUACAAUCCAUGCAA